AUUGAACGCUGGCGGAAUGCUUUACACAUGCAAGUCGAGCGGCAGCACGGGGGCAACCCUGGUGGCGAGCGGCGAACGGGUGAGUAAUACAUCGGAACAUGCCCAGUCGUGGGGGAUAACACUUCGAAAGAAGUGCUAAUACCGCAUACGUCCUGAGGGAGAAAGCGGGGGAUCGCAAGACCUCGCGCGAUUGGAGUGGCCGAUGUCAGAUUGGCUAGUUGGUGGGGUAAAGGCCUACCAAGGCAACGAUCUGUAGCUGGUCUGAGAGGAUGAUCAGCCACACUGGGACUGAGACACGGCCCAGACUCCUACGGGAGGCAGCAGUGGGGAAUUUUGGACAAUGGGGGCAACCCUGAUCCAGCCAUUCCGCGUGAGUGAAGAAGGCCUUCGGGUUGUAAAGCUCUUUCGGCAGGAACGAAACGGCGAGCUCUAACAUAGCUUGCUAAUGACGGUACCUGAAGAAGAAGCACCGGCUAACUACGUG
rnacentral:rRNA from 1 species